GACCAAGAGUGUCCAGGACAUGGGGAA
rnacentral:piRNA from 1 species